rnacentral:misc_RNA from 1 species
CAAGGAGUGCUUGCAAGUAGAGAAAGGAAAGACCUUUUACGACUUCCAGUUCAACACAAGGAUUGUCAAAUCGACAAUCGUGCAUUUUCAGGUAGAAACUUUUGGCUCUGUUCCAUCAUUCUCUUUAUAUUUUAUUCGUCAUCCCAACCAAAAACCCAUCCAGUUAGAAAACGCAUGCGUCUCGUUUUGAUGUUUAAAUUUUAAAUUUCUUGGUUCUAGAAAUUUAUUUUCAGCGGAGUUCUCUCCUUUUAUUUUAUCUUUUUGUUUAUUAUUAUUUUUCUUUUCCCUUUCUCUUUGUUUCUUCUGUUGGUCCUACUUGUGUUACCUUUUGUGGUCCACGCUUUUGAUGCAUAAGACAUUUCAUAAUCGCUGUGCACAAGUGCCUGAUUUCAUAAUCGGAGUGCCUGACACGCGAUCCAUUUUAAAUUUUUUCCUUACAAAAAAUACAAAUCAAUGUUAAUCUUCCGGAGUCCGUAUGCUGAUGUUGCAUCUUAGUGGUAUCUCUCAUAUUCUGUGAUCUUUGUUUAUGCACAUGUCAUUAGUUUAUAGUUUUGCAGGUCUAGUCAAUUUGUUAUUGGCUUAUUGUCCAUAUGAUCAUAUCUUUUUUAUGUGAUUAUAGCUCUGUGCCUGAACUUGUUGGAGGUAUGAUGUUUGAUAUUGAUCCCUUUCAUAUGUUAAAAUUAUCUGAAUGCAUUCAACUAAUGAACAACUGGCUUAAGUUUCCAGAUUAAGUUAUGGUCCAGUGAGGUCGUUAUACCAAUUACUCUUCUGGCCUGCAUGGUGGCGACUUAAAUCUUUCUGGAUAUAUGAGCAUAUCUUUUGAAAAUUGACUUCAUUGAUUAUGAACUUCUCAAUUCUGGACAGACUCUUGGCUUUUGGACGGGGAACUUGGUUCUUUUUUUUUUUUAUAAAUUUUACGGUGUUCCCAACACAGGCUUCAAGUUGGGUUUGUAUUCACUAACCCUUUUUGCGCAGAUUUCUGAGGGAUGCUUACUUUAACGCACUGGUAAACAGUUUCUCAAAAUUUAAUCAAAUUGAAAUAUCAAUUUUACAAGGUAAAAUCUGAUUCUAAGUUGUAGAUAUGGAUGCAUGGCAAUCCUGUUUAAGUAACUCGUAGUUGAGUGUGUUUGUUGAGAGACUCUGAAAGCCAUAGGUGCGUAAUAGAUGCAUUUAACACAACAGAUGCACCAACAAACAUACACCCAACCCCCUCCCCCCCCCUCCAGACAAGCUGUUUGUAGAAAGUUCAUUUGAGUUCAGCAUAUAUAACUCUCUUUAAGAUGAUUUCUAGAUAUCAAGCUAAAAAGUUGAGGGGAGACUAGAAGGUAUAAAAUCAUGUUAUCCUGCUAGCUUGCUUAAUAUUCUGUUAAAUCAUGCAUGUUUAACUAUCGUUGCAUGGGUUCACUGUAAGUUGAUCAUUCUGAUGUUUUUCUGGUCUACUGUGAAUGUGAAGCUCUGGUCUAUUGACCUACUAUUUAUCUUUAUGCUUGUGAUUUCUAUCGGCCAAUGUAUACUUUCCUUUCCUUUGACUGUUAAAUAUAUUAUACUGUCUUUAACCCCUCUGUGGCAUUUAGGAUUGCUAUUGCUUUUUA